rnacentral:rRNA from 1 species
UACGUAGGGGGCAAGCGUUGUCCGGAAUCAUUGGGCGUAAAGAGCGUGUAGGCGGCUCGGUAAGUCCGCUGUAAAAGUCCAGGGCUCAACCCUGGAAAGCCGGUGGAAGACUGUCGGGCUAGAGUCCGGAAGAGGCGAGUGGAAUUCCUGGUGUAGCGGUGAAAUGCGCAGAUAUCAGGAGGAACACCAAUGGCGAAGGCAGCUCACUGGGACGGUACUGACGCUGAGACGCGAAAGCGUGGGGAGCAAACAGG